CGGGAUGCGGCGAAGGGCGCGCGGCGCGCGGCGGCGGAGAUGAGCGCCUCGGCGGCCACCGGGGUGUUCGUGCUGUCGCUCUCGGCCAUCCCGGUCACCUACAUCUUCGACCGCCUGGCGGCUCAGCACGAUUCCUGGACAAUCGUAGGAGUUGCUGCCCUCAUUCUGCUCCUGGUAGCCCUGUUGGCUCGAGUUCUUGUCAAAAGGAAGCCACCUCGGGACCCGCUAUUCUAUGUGUAUGCCGUCUUCGGAUUUACCAGUGUGGUGAACCUCAUCAUAGGGCUGGAACAAGAUGGCAUCAUUGAUGGCUUCAUGACCCACUACCUGAGAGAGGGUGAACCCUAUCUGAACACUGCUUACGGGCACAUGAUCUGCUACUGGGAUGGCUCUGCUCAUUAUCUGAUGUACCUAGUGAUGGUGGCAGCUAUAGCAUGGGAGGAAAGCUACAGAAGCAUUGGCCUGUACUGGGUUGGAUCCAUUAUCAUGAGCAUUGUUGUUUUUGUGCCUGGAAACAUUGUAGGGAAAUAUGGAACACGAAUAUGCCCUGCUUUUUUCUUAAGCAUACCGUAUACUUGUCUCCCUGUCUGGGCAGGUUUCAGAAUCUAUAAUCAGCCAACAGAAAAUUAUAAUUACCCUGCCAAGGUUGUCCAAGAAGCGCAAGCAAAAGACCUGCUGAGAAGACCAUGUGACCUAAUGCUAGUCACAUGUCUCCUACUGGCCACUGGAUUUUGCCUGUUUAGAGGCUUGAUUGCUUUGGACUGCCCAGCUGAGCUCUGCCGAUUGUAUACACAAUUUCAAGAGCCCUACCUAAAGGAUCCUGCUGCUUAUCCUAAAAUUCAGAUGCUGGCAUAUAUGUUCUAUUCUGUUCCUUACUUUGUGAUUGCGCUUUAUGGCCUAGUGGUUCCCGGAUGCUCCUGGAUGCCUGACAUAACACUGAUACAUGCUGGAGGUCUAGCUCAGGUACCAUGAACUUCUUCAAAAAAAGUCGCAGAUUGGCUUUGGACAGGCUGGUUGUACAGAGGUGACUUGAAUAUACUUAAGAAAACACAAACUUUUGCUCUGCACUGUACAUGUGAGCUGUAAUACUGUACUGUGUGGGUAAAUUUUGUUUAUGGACAGAAAACUUGGGAAACAGCUUGUUUUAAGAAAUACAUAAAAAAAUAAAAAAAUAAAGAAAUACAUCAAAAUUGUCUGUGAAUAAACCUGACCAUGUAUCUCAAGAUUUUGUUUGUACAUAUUACAUAAUUGUGAGUGUGAAAAAUUGUAACUUAGUACCUAUAACAGCAGAAAACAAAAACUACUCAGAAGUGAAUGUGUGCUAUACAUAUAAAAAAUUAAAAACAGCAAUCACAGGUUGGAGAAAUAACUUUUGCAUAUAAGAUUGUAUAUGCCACAUAAUCGACCUCAAUUUAAAAGGCAGAUCAACAGAAUAUUUUUAACUGUUUGAAAAAUGUCUUCCCAAGGGAAGUUUAUUAUUUACUGUUUUUAAAAAAUGCUUUUACAAGUUUUUUGUGUCAACCUAAAUAGCUCAAGCAAGAUCAAUUAACUUUAUCAUUACCCACAACAGACUUGUUUUGCUGGUGGCUAGAAAUGUUUCUAUUGUAUUUCUGCAUAUAUUUUUAAUAAAAUUAUUUUUGGUCUUUUAUGAAAAGAUAUUAUACCACAUUUGAAAUAGUUUAUAUAUAUUUUCAUAGGUCUUGGCUUUUUAGUUAAAAUCUGUUAUACUUUCUAAAUCAAAACCUAGUCUCAUAUUUUAGUGUGAUCAACAAAGAGGCCUUUUGUUGAAUUAAAUAUUUCAUAACUUUAAAAUAAAAUAUGCACAAUUUAAAAAUACAUUUUAAGGAAAAAGUACUCCAUUGGCAUCUUUACUACUUUAUGAACUUUUCAUUUGAAACUGUAUGAGUAUAUAUCAGUAUUUGCUAAAUGACAGAAACAGACCAAAAGCACAGCUCCUUUUUACUGCCCUGCAUGUGUGUGGAUCAGAGUUUGUGUAGCCUCAGCUGCCAUCACCACCAUCAGCAUCAGCGUCGCAGAUUUUCUCUUCAUGAUCAUUAGUUCUUCACCAAAAUAAGGAAACCAAAAGGAAAUUCGGUACAAAUCAACACAUAAACUAUAUGUGAAUUUAGGGUUCACUAAGUAAGUAUUUUCCUAGAUGUGCAGGCAAAUUGUGUUGUCAUUUGCUCCCAAAUAACAUAGAACCCCCAGUAUUAAGAGGGGUGGGAGGAGAUAAAAAUGAAAGCCCUUACCUGCACUUGACUCUGUUGUCAACUUGCUGUUAAUAAAUAGUUUUUGCUUUAAUAUACGAGUUACAUUAAUACCUCACAAUUACAUAUAUAAAGCCAAGUUACACUAACUUUGUUUACAACCUCAGAGCUUACUCCCAGUACACAUUCCAAUAAAUUUAUUCUGUAAAAACAAUACAUUUUUUUGUUUUUGACUUUUUU